rnacentral:misc_RNA from 1 species
GCUUGAGGUCUUGCGCUGGAUGCGCCAGGAGUCGCCGUUGACGUUGAAGAUGCCGUCACCGAGGAAGUCGUGAAGGGCGGAUAUGAAAGUGAAGCCCUUUUCGUAGGUGGUGAAGUGGGAGCGGGCAAGGUGCUCGACUGCGGCGGGGUCGGCGGUGAAGACGAGAGGGGCGACAGUAACGGUGCCGGUGGGGCUGGCGGAGACGAGCUCGGUUAUCCAGUCGAGGAUUCGGUGGCCGUUUUUUAUGAGUUGGGGGAGGUUUCCGAUGAUGGGGUAAGGUUUGAUGACGGUAGGGCCGACGCCGGCAGUGGU